AAACAUUAGAUCCCGAAAGACUGCAACAAGUGUCUUUUGGAGAGGCAUUCGCUGACUGGGUCAGACUUAUUUACUCUCCACUAGAGCAUCUUGAUCUUUAACAUACUGCUGUACUUCUAACAAUCUCCUGACAGAGUAGGACUGCCUAUUUUGUACAAAUCAGUUGGGUCUAGAACCACAAUAGUGGGUAUGAUAAGAUUUAGCCUCAAAGAUAAUAACGAAUCAGUGUCAUCAUUAUCAAUCACCUGAAUAAACAUCUGCAGCAGGACUCGGAUAGUAGAGAAUUAUUACAUUGCCAAUUGAACCUCUGGGGGGUUUGGAUUGGAAAUAAGGAAGCUGGAAUGAAACUGGGCGGGAUUGGAGAUAUGGAUAGACCCAAUAGUACAUUUCUGAACUAAAUCAGUGGUGAUCCGGGGGAACAUACUUUUUUUGCACACUAUUGGUUAGAGACUGUAAGUAAUGCAUUUCACUGUAAGGUGAACGGCACACGUGACAAAGAAACUUUGAUUUGAUUUGAACCAGAAAUAAGUCAAUCCUGCAGUAUGAUUUAUGCAGAUUAGAAAAACAUCUGUAAUCUCUAUUGGCAGGAUUGAAAAGUCUCCACACAUCCGUUAGACCAAUCUCAUCUAACAUUUGGUGUAUAGCUUUUGACCUAGAGCCUAUCUAUAAUGUAGUAGGCUUUGGUUGCUUGUCAAGAUUCACACCAAUCACCACCAGUAUCAGCUAUACUCCAAAACCAGAUUUGUUAAUCUGGUGAAAAAGAGACGAAGAAUGAAGAGAGCCAUGUAGGGAAAUCUAGCAGCCUCAUAAUAAUCAACUUUUAAAUUAUUUUAUUUAUUUAACCUUUAUUUAAGUAGGCAAGUCAGUUUUAAGAACAAAGUCUUAUUUACAAUGACGGACUACACCCGGACGAACCCGGACGACGCUGGGCCAAUUGUGCGCCGCCCUAUGGGACACCCAAUCACGGCCGGUUGUGAUACAGCCUGGAUAGAAUACCUUUUUAAGAGGCAAAGUGUCUAGGAUCAGGUCCCCCGUGUUAUUAAUUAGGACGUUAAGGGGCAACACUGAUCCUAGAUCAGCACUUUUACUCUGAGACACUUUGUGAAUACAGGCUCUGAUUAAGUUCUAGAUUCCCCUAGAUGUAUUUAUUAUUUUGUUCUGGUCUUUUAGUUUUGGCUAGAUGGGGUACAGCUACGGACAGAAGUGACUUUAGCUCAAUUUCUAAAGUUGUCCCCGAAGCGACUGGACCAUGCAACUUUUGGUCAGUCGUUGUACUCCAUCUAGGUAAAAACCUGGCAUUUUUCCCCCCCUGUGUCACUCUUCUUACUUGCUGUGCUUCCUGUUUCAGACUCACACUUCCAGGCCUUCACGGGCUGAUCUGAUUGGCCGUUGCCCGUCUGACCCCUGACCUCUGAGCCUGAGGUCAAAGGUCAAAUCUCCCAAUGGUGCGCCUUGUCUCUCAGCCCGCCCCCUUCGGCUUACUGUUGUCUCUCAGCCCGCCCCCUUCGGCUUACUGUUGUCUCUCAGCCCCCCCCCCCCUCGGCGUACUGUACCAGCUGAACACUUUUCAAAGUUUUAUUUGAAAAAGAAAAGUAAACUGACAAAAUCAAAUGUAUGUACUAUGUAUGUGUGAGUGUGUGUGUAUAUAGCUAAAUUAAAUGAAAGACUCUUUGUAAAGAAUUUUCAACCAUAAGAUACUCAUCCACAUUAAAUAAUUAGUAUUUUAACGUGUCUUACAAGAAAAGUGUCCUGGAAAGCAUUUUAAACCACGACUACAUUUCAAUGUGUUUCAAUAUCAUGGAAAUGUAUGAUAAUAAAGUAAUCUAUAUAUGAAUUGAAAGCUGAUCAAUUUGCCACACACCUUGAAUGUUAGCCUGGUUGUACCAGACUGAAACUUUACACUGAGCACCCCCUCACAUCAACCCCCCCCAAAAAACAUGAAGGUAUUAUAUAUGAAAACACAUGAUUAUUCCUCCACUUCCAGCUACAUCUGGUCUCCCAUACAGGGACCAACCAGGACCGACCCUGCUUAGCUUCAGAGGUCAACCAGCAGUGGGAUGCAGGGUGGUAUGUUGCUGGAGUGAAUGUGACAAAACUUGCAACUGGAGAAAAGCCAGCGUAAGCAAAGGCCAGGGUAACAUUACCCAAGGCCAGGGUAACAUAACCCAAGGCCAGGGUAACAUAACCCAAGGCCAGGGUAACAUUACCCAAGGCCAGGGUAACAUUACCCAAGGCCAGGGUAACGUUACCAAAGGUCAUGGUAACAUUACCCAAGGCCAUGGUAACAUUACCCAAGGCCAGGGUAACAUUACCCAAGACCAGGGUAACAUUAUCCAAGACCAGGGUCACAUGACCAAAGACCAGGGUCACAUGACCAAAGACCAGGGUCACAUGACCAAAGACCAGGGUCACAUGACCAAAGAGAGGGAAAAUUGCAGGAAAGAGGGAGGUGUUUUAUUUAAAAAGAGGGAUGCGUUCUUAUAAAUAAAGUAUCGCUGAAAACUUU